GAUGAACGCUGGCGGCGUGCCUAAUACAUGCAAGUCGAGCGAACGGACGAGAAGCUUGCUCCUCUGACGUUAGCGGCGGACGGGUGAGUAACACGUGGAUAACCUACCUAUAAGACUGGGAUAACUUCGGGAAACCGUAGCUAAUACCGGAUAAUAUUUUGAACCGCAUGGUUCAAAAGUGAAAGACGGUCUUGCUGUCACUUAUAGAUGGAUCCGCGCUGCAUUAGCUAGUUGGUAAGGUAACGGCUUACCAAGGCAACGAUGCAUAGCCGACCUGAGAGGGUGAUCGGCCACACUGGAACUGAGACACGGUCCAGACUCCUACGGGAGGCAGCAGUAGGGAAUCUUCCGCAAUGGGCGAAAGCCUGACGGAGCAACGCCGCGUGAGUGAUGAAGGUCUUCGGAUCGUAAAACUCUGUUAUUAGGGAAGAACAUAUGUGUAAGUAACUGUGCACAUCUUGACGGUACCUAAUCAGAAAGCCACGGCUAACUACGUG
rnacentral:rRNA from 1 species